GGAGCAAAGAGAGUCUAGAUGAAGAAGGGAAGUCCAGAGACGAGAUGCGAUGCCUGAAUCCCGGUGGUAAAGGAACACUAAAGGGGCCAAGGAACUGAGCAAGCGCUAAUCACUUGUCAACUUGGAGCGGAGUAGAGAUUUCAACCAGGACACCCUGAAAGGAAGCAGAGCCAAGGAUGACAGCUGACAGGCAGAACUCUCUUCUGAGUCUCCAGUGACUACCAUCAGCAAUGGUCUGUACCAAGAGACUCGGGUUCCCAGAUAGGAAAGGCAGGCGGCCAAGAAAUCGCGUCACACUUUACAAAUGGCUGUGCACACCAAAGCACUGGAGCUGAGCACACACAGGAGUUGAACGCUGGGGAGUUUGACGGCCUCCUCCUCCCCAGCAUCGGGCAGGCUUCCUUUGCUGUGAUCAUUCCCCCGUGAAUCAUCAUCCGUAGAAAAUGAAGGAGGCAAUGGAGGCAACAGAAAACAACCUAGGACCUCUUCUCUGAGCACAUCUGCCCCUCCGCUCUGUCUGCAGGCUGCUCGUUAACUAGCCUGCAGCCUGGGGUGUGUAAUGAGCGUGCCUGGGAGACAAGGUGUGACAAGAUCCCAG